CUCCAGGAUCAUCAUUCUCCUGUUUCUUUGGACAGAUCAUUGGGUUUGGUUCUGCACUUCUUGAAGAAGUUGAUCCUAAUCCUGCGAAUUUCGUGGGAGCUGGAAUCAUCCACACGAAAACCACCCAGAUCGGAUGCCUGCUACGCCUGGAGCCGAACCUGCAAGCCCAGAUGUACCGGCUCACGCUGCGGACGAGUAAGGAAGCCGUUUCUCAGAGAUUAUGUGAAUUGCUGUCAGCGCAGUUUUAGUCUUGAGGAUGGAGGACCAGGCUCGUGUGUCUCGCGUUGUCUUCGUCUGUGCCGUUUGUCUUCGUGGCCAUCCUGCGAUGAGCACCCCCGCUGCCCCAGACCUCUCCCCUUUGGGCUGGACAGGAACACAUGUGUGUGGCUCAGGAAGAAAAGCUCAGCCUGGACUGCGGCAGCCACGGCAGAAGGUGGAUCUUGGGAUCAGUUUUUAUAAAAAUCAAGACAGUUCUGUGGUUAAAUCUACAAAUUAAAGGGAAAUUAGAAGUUGGCGUGAACGUGGCGUUUGUGGGAGUGUCACUGAGAUGGCCCGUGCUGCCGCCCACCCUGCCUCGGAGCCUCUGGGAGCAGCAGUGCCGCUACAUGUGGCGUGGGCUGAGCCUUGGUGUGUGGCUGUUCUGGUGGCUGCACACCUGGCAUCGUCCUGGGCCCUUGGGAGGAGCACGGCCGCCCCUGGUUUUGCUGCUGUCCCAGCUGGACAGUUUUCCCAGGCAGGAUUUUAAUCUAGACUUUAGAAGCAUUUGUAUUUGUAAUGACUUCUGGCAAAACCACGUGUCCUGGCUGGAUGUCAUUGUUUUCCCAGCUCCUGUUUGUGGAGGGCGUCUGUUAUGCUCCUGCAGUCCCCGAGGCCUUAGAUGUGCAGCCAGGGAAGGAGUGUCCUGCCGGCCCCACGGGGUCCCCAGGACUCCAGAGUAAAGCGUGGGCUGGUGGCGCAGACUCAGGUGUGCUCGUCUCUCUCCUGUCAGGAGUGGGUGUCCCCAGGCCACGGUGUAGGCUUGAGUCCUUCCACUGGUCCUGUCCAGUCGUCCCUGGAGGGGCUGUGGAGGAGGGAAGCCUCUGUGUAGAGGUCAGGAAGUGAAGGGGCCAUUGGCCACACGCUGAGUGCCACCUGCGGCUUGUGUCUCACCUGUCGUCUGGACUCAGCACCCAGGCUGCACGUCUGACACCUGAGAGGCGAGAGAGUAGGGCUGGCCUAGGAGCCAAGGCUAGGGCCCUGUGCUCUGUCCCCAGGACGGUGGCCUUGUUUGUCCUAAACACACCCAGCACGGGUUCCGGCUUCCUGACAUGCUGUGGAGGCAGGGUGGGUGGCCACAUGUGCUUGAGCCUGGCCCUCAGCCACCUGCUCUGCAGGUCUCUCGGGCAGCUGCAGGGGCUCACGGACCCAUCAGGUCUCCACAGCUCCCCUGCAGUGUGUGCAGCCCACGAUGUCUGUGGCUCUCCUUCCGGCGUGUCGGACUUUGAUCACAGGAUAGCCAUGUUGGUGGCAUGUGCCUCUCGCGCUGGCCAUUCUGGGUCUGGUGGUGCCAGGUGUCAUGACACGCCGCGCUGGGCUUGUGCUGCAGCUGGGUGGUGUGGCCCUCAUUCUUGUGUUCCAGCUGCUGGGCAGUGCUCUGCCCGUGUGCUGCGCCUGCCGGCUGCGUGUGCUGCCGUGGAUCUCCUACGUCCCUUGACCCCUCCUGCCAUCAGAGGAAAGGCCGCUCCCCGAGGUACCGCUUCCCUGUGUGGCUGCAGGGGGACCCUCAGUGUGGCACUCCUCGUCAAAGAAAAAUAAAGGCUAGAACAGCA